rnacentral:rRNA from 1 species
GAUCCUGGCUCAGGAUGAACGCUAGCUACAGGCUUAACACAUGCAAGUCGAGGGGCAGCAUGUUGGUUGCUUGCAACCAACGAUGGCGACCGGCGCACGGGUGAGUAACGCGUAUCCAACCUUCCGCAUACUCGGGAAUAGCCUUUCGAAAGAAAGAUUAAUGCCCGAUGGUUCCCCGAAUCCGCAUGAGAGCGGGAAUAAAGAUUCAUCGGUGUGCGAUGGGGAUGCGUCCCA